rnacentral:rRNA from 1 species
GACGAACGCUGGCGGCGUGCUUAACACAUGCAAGUCGAACGGAAAGGCCCUGCUUUUGUGGGGUGCUCGAGUGGCGAACGGGUGAGUAACACGUGAGUAACCUGCCCUUGACUUUGGGAUAACCUCAGGAAACUGGGGCUAAUACCGGAUAGGAGCUCCUGCUGCAUGGUGGGGGUUGGAAAGUUUCGGCGGUUGGGGAUGGACUCGCGGCUUAUCAGCUUGUUGGUGGGGUAGUGGCUUACCAAGGCUUUGACGGGUAGCCGGCCUGAGAGGGUGACCGGCCACAUUGGGACUGAGAUACGGCCCAGACUCCUACGGGAGGCAGCAGUGGGGAAUAUUGCACAAUGGGCGGAAGCCUGAUGCAGCAACGCCGCGUGCGGGAUGACGGCCUUCGGGUUGUAAACCGCUUUCGCCUGUGACGAAGCGUGAGUGACGGUAAUGGGUAAAGAAGCACCGGCUAACUACGUGCCAGCAGCCGCGGUGAUACGUAGGGUGCGAGCGUUGUCCGGAUUUAUUGGGCGUAAAGGGCUCGUAGGUGGUUGAUCGCGUCGGAAGUGUAAUCUUGGGGCUUAACCCUGAGCGUGCUUUCGAUACGGGUUGACUUGAGGAAGGUAGGGGAGAAUGGAAUUCCUGGUGGAGCGGUGGAAUGCGCAGAUAUCAGGAGGAACACCAGUGGCGAAGGCGGUUCUCUGGGCCCUUCCUGACGCUGAGGAGCGAAAGCGUGGGGAGCGAACAGGCUUAGAUACCCUGGUAGUCCACGCUGUAAACGGUGGGUACCAGGUGUGGGGUCCAUUCCACGGGUUCCGUGCCGUAGCUAACGCUUUAAGUACCCCGCCUGGGGAGUACGGCCGCAAGGCUAAAACUCAAAGGAAUUGACGGGGCCCCGCACAAGCGGCGGAGCAUGCGGAUUAAUUCGAUGCAACGCGUAGAACCUUACCUGGGUUUGACAUGGAUCGGGAGCGCUCAGAGAUGGGUGUGCCUCUUUUGGGGUCGGUUCACAGGUGGUGCAUGGCUGUCGUCAGCUCGUGUCGUGAGAUGUUGGGUUAAGUCCCGCAACGAGCGCAACCCUUGUUCACUGUUGCCAGCACGUUAUGGUGGGGACUCAGUGGAGACCGCCGGGGUCAACUCGGAGGAAGGUGGGGAUGACGUCAAGUCAUCAUGCCCCUUAUGUCCAGGGCUUCACGCAUGCUACAAUGGCUGGUACAGAGAGUGGCGAGCCUGUGAGGGUGAGCGAAUCUCGGAAAGCCGGUCUCAGUUCGGAUUGGGGUCUGCAACUCGACCUCAUGAAGUCGGAGUCGCUAGUAAUCGCAGAUCAGCAACGCUGCGGUGAAUACGUUCCCGGGGCU